UCCUGGCUCAGGAUGAACGCUGGCGGCGUGCUUAACACAUGCAAGUCGAACGAAGCACUUUGAUCGAUUUCUUCGGAUUGAAAUUUUAGUGACUGAGUGGCGGACGGGUGAGUAACGCGUGGGUAACCUGCCUCACACAGGGGGAUAACAGUUGGAAACGGCUGCUAAUACCGCAUAAGCGCACAGUACCGCAUGGUACGGUGUGAAAAACUCCGGUGGUGUGAGAUGGACCCGCGUCUGAUUAGCUAGUUGGCAGGGCAACGGCCUACCAAGGCGACGAUCAGUAGCCGACCUGAGAGGGUGACCGGCCACAUUGGGACUGAGACACGGCCCAAACUCCUACGGGAGGCAGCAGUGGGGAAUAUUGCACAAUGGGGGAAACCCUGAUGCAGCGACGCCGCGUGAGCGAAGAAGUAUUUCGGUAUGUAAAGCUCUAUCAGCAGGGAAGAAGAAAUGACGGUACCUGACUAAGAAGCACCGGCUAAAUACGUGCCAGCAGCCGCGGUAAUACGUAUGGUGCAAGCGUCAUCCGGAUUUACUGGGUGUAAAGGGAGCGCAGGCGGAAGGCUAAGUCUGAUGUGAAAGCCCGGGGCUCAACCCCAGUACUGCAUUGGAAACUGGUCAUCUAGAGUGUCGGAGGGGUAAGUGGAAUUCCUAGUGUAGCGGUGAAAUGCGUAGAUAUUAGGAGGAACACCAGUGGCGAAGGCGGCUUACUGGACGAUAACUGACGCUGAGGCUCGAAAGCGUGGGGAGCAAACAGGAUUAGAUACCCUGGUAGUCCACGCCGUAAACGAUG
rnacentral:rRNA from 2 species